CUCAAAAUAUAAAAUAUAAAAUAGAUAAUUAAAAGAUUAAAAAGCUGUGGCUAAGCUGUAGCAGUUGAAAUAUGUGCAAGCAUCAGUAAUCUUCAGUGUAGAGGGAUAUUUUACCAUUGUACCUAUGUAUGCAUAGAGCAGACCUGAUAAAUAAUUACUGCAACUUAUUACUUGCUAUUUCUGUUUGCCUCUACUGUUGUUAUCUUCAUAUUGCAGGUAGUUACUAGUUAAUCUUCAUGUAUACAGCUGUAUGUAGCAUGUCCCUUGAUGUAGCUAGUCCUUGACCCAGCUGGGCGUUGCUGGGUUUACUGAUGGAGAGGGAAUCUUUGCAAAGGUUACUGCUUCCAGGUUGCUGUUUCCAGCAAAUCUUUUAUGUUCUUAGAAGACCUCAUUUUAGAUCCAGCUACUGUUUUCUUGGUAAGUUAAGUCUGGUAAAUAACGAGUAGUAGAUAUCCAUGCUACUUUGAUGUACCAGUUGCAGGUGGGAGUCCAAUAGAACUCGUUGGAUGGCUCAUCAGUUUCUUCCAAAAUGGCUGUUUCGCAUAUUUGCCCCCACCCUGCAGGCCCUUUUAAAUUAACCUCAGUCACUUUGGUUCCCUUGAUAUCUUGUUCUUGCUGGAACUACUCUGAGAGGGGAAUUGGGCUGGCUGACAUUAUUCGUACAAUCAUUUUAGUGCCAAUUAAGACAAUUAACUUUGUCUGGAGCAUGGCAAAGAUGAAAUGUAGAGUCAUGCUUUAAGUGUGUGCGUGCAGGUAUACAUGCAAGUAGUUAACCUCUUUAGCCCUGUUAUUUGAUUUGCUAAGUUACAGCUAUUUUGAUUUCUCCCCCUGUGCCUUCCAGCAUUCAGCCACCUCUCACAAAUGUUCCUUUAGUCCCAAGCCUCAUUAGUCUUCCUGCUGUCCCUCGGUGCCAGGAAAAGUACAGCCAGUGAUCUGACUGUAAGCAAUCUCUGUGCUAAUUUACCCUAAUAUCUUCACAGGGUAAGAUCCUCAGUCUUCACAGAACUGUUAGUAGCUGUGGUUAGUUCCCAGAGCCUGCUCCAUCUCUAGACCUUGCUGCAGCCUGCAACACAGAUGUAUGUGGAAGCCAAUUCAUCCCAAGGUCUCCUGGGGAGAAAAGCUUCAUCAAAAUGCAAGAUUGCUAUAAUGGUAGAAGAUCACGAAAUUCUUCUGUGUGUCAUGCAGGAGGGGGAAGGGGAGAAAAGAGACCAGACAAAACCACUCAGUGUAGCUGUGAAGCUUCUCUAAUUUUUAUCUCAUGCAGUUUUUAUUGUGUGUUUUAUUUCUUCUCUCACCAGCAGCUAUCUGGGUGAAAGGAGGUGUGAAUAGUGCAGUUCUUAGAACUCUGCUUUUCACACAAACUCUGACUCGAGGAGCAUUUUCUUCUCACACUUGCUAUGCUUCAUCUCUGGCAGAAAUGCAGCCUAGUGUAUUGGGUGUAGCUGUGCAUUAUUGGCACCUCUGAUUUUUCUAGAAACAAAUCAGGAGGAUGUUGUCAGUGUUUUACAGCAUUUCCUGAUGGAGUGAGGAAGCUUUCUGAAUCCACCUGUGCUCACUGGCUGCUUGUUGGUGCUCAUGAGCAGGAUCUGUGUUGAUAAUCCCUGAUGGACUGACUGCAGGAGAGGAGCGUGCUGCAUGCAUUUGUGUAGGCUGAGGGAAGCAGCUCACCAAGAGGAAUCAGAUCAGAGUGCAGAGCAUGGCAUAGCAUCUCCAUACCGGCCUUUCUGCAGGGAGCUGAAAUGGGGAAGCAACUGCAGGGAGCAGAGCAGCAUGAGGUGAAAAUCUAGGGAAGUCUUCAGCUCAAGCAUCUGCUGUCUCAGCACUGGCUUGAAACUGCAGUGAUCAGCACCAGAAAGUUUGCGCUUGGAUUGUGGAACUGCUGAAAUAUAAUUGCAACCAAUGGCUUGAAA